rnacentral:tRNA from 1 species
GCUGGUUUGGCUCAGUGGAUAGAGCAUCAGCCUGCAGACUGAAGGGUCCCAGGUUCUAUUCCGGUCAACAGCA